rnacentral:rRNA from 1 species
UGGGGGAUAUUGCACAAUGGGGGAAACCCUGAUGCAGCAACGCCGCGUGAGUGAAGAAGUAUUUCGGUAUGUAAAGCUCUAUCAGCAGGGAAGAGAAUGACGGUACCUGACUAAGAAGCCCCGGCUAACUACGUGCCAGCAGCCGCGGUAAUACGUAGGGGGCGAGCGUUAUCCGGAUUUACUGGGUGUAAAGGGAGCGUAGACGGCUGGUCAAGUCUGAAGUGAAAGCCCGGGGCUUAACCCCGGAACGGCUUUGGAAACUGAGCAGCUAGAGUGCUGGAGAGGUAAGCGGAAUUCCUAGUG